rnacentral:lncRNA from 1 species
UGGAAUCCUACUUCCCAAUGUGAUGAUGGGAGCCUUUGGUAGGUGAUUAGGUUUAUAAGAUAUCACAGGGGUGGAGCCCUCAUACUGGGAUUAGUGCUCUUAUAAGAAGAGGAAAUAAUCAGUGCUCUCUUUCCCUCUGCCAUGUGAAGAUACAAGAAGAAGAGGGCCAUCUGAAAAUCUGGAAGAGUGUCUUCAUCAGAUACCAGAUCUGUCAACGCCUUGAACUUGGACUUCUCAGCCUUCAAAACUAUGGUCUUGGCUCUUCAGGAUUUAUAUUCCUAUUCGUUAUCUGGAAAAAAAAGGUAGGUGAGAUUUUAAUAGGAAUUAAGUUAAAUAUAUAGAUUAAUUUGAGAAUAUCACCAUCUUAACAAAUUAAGACUCAUGAUCCAUGUCUAUGAGAUGUUUUUCCAAUUAUUUAGAUUUUCAUUAAUUUUAGGAUUUGACAAUUUAAUUUAAAACAUAAUUUUCUAAAUUUUCUAAAAAUUUCUAAUUCUUUAAGAUGUGUUUGUAGUUUGAGGAUAAGUUUUGCAUAUUCUUUCUUAAAUUUAAUAAACAUUGUUUAUUAAUUAUUUCUGUUAAAUGUAUUCGUAAGUAAUUCAUUAUUUCGAGUGAUUGUAAAUGAAAUUGUUUUACAAAUUUUAUUAUCAGAUAAUUCACUACUAGGGUAAAGAAGUAAAACAUACUUUUGUAUGUUGGUAUUGUACUUGCAGCUUUCCUGAACUAGUUUAUUAACUAAUGGCUUCUUUAAGAUUUCCUGCAUAUACAGUAUUGUAUCCUCUGCAAAUGAUCAUAAUAGCAUAAUAUUAGCUGUUACUUUUUUACAGCUGCCUUUUAUCAGGUUAAAGAAGCUUCCAUUUAUUCCUUUUUUUUUAAAUCAUGAAACGAUUUUGUACUUAGUAAAAAAAGAAAACAAAUAAUUCUGCAUUUAUUGAGUUGAUCAUCUGUUUUUUGCUUUUUGCUUUAUUGGUAUGGUGCAUUACAUUACUGAUACAGUUAUAUUUGGUCUACAAGUUGACGGUUUCUGUUUUCUAUAAAUUUUGUGGUUUUUUUAAUUGUAUGUUCUUCAUUCUUUUGUUAAAUAUUUUAAAAUGUAAUGUCUUAAUUUCUUUAAUAAUUUUUAAAUUACAUCUUUUAGUCAUUUUCUUAGGGGGUCAUUCUAG